CAGCACCUCAAGUGGUCAGGAUGAUUAUUGGGCCUAAAGCAUCCGUAGCCUGCUUUGUUAGUUUUCGGUUAAAUCCAUAUGCUCAACGUAUGGGCUGCCGGGAAUACUACAAAGCUAGGGAGUGGGAGAGGUAGACGGUACUCGGUAGGAAGGGGUAAAAUCCUUGAUCUAUUGAUGACCACCUGUGGCGAAGGCGGUCUACCAGAACACGUCCGACGGUGAGGGAUGAAAGCUGGGGGAGCAAACCGGAUUAGAUACCCGAGUAGUCC
rnacentral:rRNA from 1 species